rnacentral:rRNA from 1 species
CAGUAGCCGCGGGAAUACGUAGGGUGCGAGCGUUAAUCGGAAUUACUGGGCGUAAAGCGUGCGCAGGCGGUUCGUUAAGACAGGUGUGAAAUCCCCGGGCUUAACCUCAGAAUUGCUUUUGAGACUGUAGAGCUAGAGUACUGGAGAGGUUAGUGGAAUUCCGAGUGUAGAGGUGAAAUUCGCAGAUAUUCGGAGGAACACCAGUGGCGAAGGCGACUAACUGGACAGUAACUGACGCUGAGGCACGAAAGAGUGGGGAGCAAACAGGAUUAGAGACCCGUGUAGUCCCUGUCUCUUAUAC